rnacentral:lncRNA from 1 species
UUCUGAUCUCUCACUGAGCAGUCUUUCCUUUCACCCCAAAGUGUCCCCUUCUCAGAUCUUCCCCCACACACUGCAGGCAUUCCCCUCGCCGCCGUCCUUCUCUUUUUAGUUUUUCUUUAUGUUGAUCUUUUACUUCUUUUACCCGUUGCUGCUUUUUACUUUGCUAGCAGAGAUCCCCUCCUCAUCCCCGUUUUCUUUUUUCCAUCUUUUCCUUCGCGCUUUCGGCCUCGCCCCUUUCUCCAGGUCUUCAUUCACCCCUCUUUCCUGUAUUUGCUUCUUCCUUCCCAUUUCCACUUUCUUAAGCCCCAUCCCUAACAAUUCAAUCAAGACUGCCUGACAUCCCUCCUCCCUUUCUCAGGCACUUUUCAAAUCUCCAACCACCUUCCGCCCCCUCCUCCUUCACUCCUGUCCCCCUCUUUCUCUCCUUCCUUUUCCUGAACCCCCGCUCUUUCACUCCUCUCCCUACUUUCCGCUUCGUCUCCCCUCCCCCACUCCCUGCUUUACACCAGCCGGAGAUGAGCUCAUUGGAGUCAGGCCAAGCAGAGAAAAAGCCGGAAGACUCAGGGAGGGCUAGUUUGGGGUUUGGGGAAGUGCUAGGAAAGGCUGGGUCGGAAUUUUGGUUGCUUGUUCUAAAAGGGGGAUCCUGCCAGACGCCCUGUCUUAUAUGUUGGGGACUUCUCUUUGCAACGGCCAGGGAAGAAGAGAUAUGGAAUUUGGAGAAGAUAAACAGUAUUUGAGAAAACUGACAAAAGAGGAAGGAACUGGGACUGUACAAGCUGAGCAGCAACCAUGAUGGGAGCUUAAUGAGUCAAACUCUAAAGAAGUGACAACAAGAAGGCAAUGGACAAGGAACAAGACAAAUGGAGAACUAGGCUGCCACAAAACAGGGAGAUAUUGAGAUGGGUCAUUGGAUUCCUACAGGCAUUUUGGGACAAAUAACAGGGGCUUAAAUUGCCAAUUAUAAUUAGUUUUUUUAAGGAUGGAGUUAAGUUCCAAAAGCUCUAUCCCCCUCUGCACAUACUUCCUUUCUCUUAACUUAUUCAUUCAGUAAUUGCCACUGUUAUAUGCUCUUGUUUUCUUUUAUCUGUUUCCUAUAUCCUGAUUUUGCUUUAUAUAUGAGGAAACUUGGAGGCUUGUAUUGUAAACUCCGGUUUGCACUAUGAAAAGGGAAAUGAGGAACUCGGAGGUUAUUUGAAAUAACCCAAACUUUAAGUUAGACCACAGAAAGAAACCAAUAAUGAAAGUUAAGAAGUUUCUAUCUGGGGGCUCUGAGCUACCAUGAUUUCAUUAAUAAAUUUCACUUGGUAUAAACUCCA